CUGGGACUCUCUGUUAAGUUUAGCAGCCGCACUCCUCUGAGUCAAGGACCUAGAGCAUGACUAUCUUGCAAAACUGAAUGAUUCAGAGGAAGCAAAUACAUCCUUAUGAACAACUACAUCAUGAUAGUCCUAAGGUCCAUCUACCCCAGUAUGCUGAGACUCUAGUGGUGAUAGGAGAGGCCCAGAAAACAGUGGAAGAGCAGGGCAAGUCAGCUGAGAAGGUCUCCCUGAAUACUCAGCCAGCACUUUUGGUGAUUUGCAGCUCAAAUGAAUGUCUUCAUAUUUAGUAGGCUGAGGAGUCCUGAUCUACUCAAUUAUUCCUCAGAUCGAGAGCAUUCUUGAGACUGGUCGGCUCUGUUGCUCUUCUAUUGGACAUUUUCAGUUCUCCCAGAAUCUUUCAAGAUGGGGAGAUCCCACCACGAAUUUCAAUAGUGACACAUGUGUUACAGGACGCCGGGAGAAGCUUGCACAGCUGUUCGCCCAUCAAACCCCAUUUAUAGGAACACAUUUCAAAGAGCGAAGUGUAGAAAUGGGCAAAUGAAGACUGACACACUGGAUGCUGUUGGGCUACGGGAUGCAUGCAGUACAUGGAGCACCACAGAAGCUUUCUUACUUGAUUUUGCUGCUGAACCAGAGGCCUGAAGUAUAAGCAACCCCUCUGUAUUAGAAAAGAGAGGGUCCAGAAUCGCUGACCGCUCUCAGCUGUGAUAGGGGCAAUGGAGACUUACACUUCUGCCAGCAGGAGCCAGAGCAAUUCCCGCGACUGCUCGCUGCUCUGUCUGAACACCGCGCGGUGGCCGGCAGCCUGCACUCGCUGCUGGCCACGCAGUGUCACACCAGGGAGACAGGGGGUAAGCUCCAUAUCAUAACAGUAGCUGCAAUAAAACAUUUAUUUGGA